rnacentral:tRNA from 1 species
UGGGAUUAUGGCUCAGUGGUGGAGCGCUCGCCUAGCACAUGUGAGGCCCUGGGUUUGAUCCUCAGAACCACAA